rnacentral:misc_RNA from 1 species
AGCAUGAGAGUAUAUAAGCUCCAUCUUUUUAGGCUGCUGUGACUGCUAUCUUCAUCCCUGCCUGGCAGUGGCCGACGACGCUGCAGAUGAAGUAGUUCGUUCCCCUCGACAGCGUGAUGCGGUCGUUGCCUGACCUGAACACCCUCGACCCUGGUGGUGUGGUGCAGCCUCUGUACCCACCCGCUGGCACCGAAACAACAUUGUGGACUGCAGAGUUGUAUUUAAAUACAAGCACAUCGCCGGCCCGGAACCUCUUCCCGGCCGGCCACCCGGAGGUUCCAAAAGUCCACCCUCCGCCACCGCCAACUUCAUAGACGACCGAUUCGGCCACCUCACAGUUGACGAUGAGGAACACGAGCACCACCCCGAGAGCCACCGCCCGU